UACGUAGGUGGCAAGCGUUGUCCGGAUUUACUGGGCGUAAAGGGCGUGCAGGCGGUCUGUUAAGUGCAGGGUGAAAGCUCCCGGCUCAACUGGGAGAGGUCCUUGCAUACUGGCGGACUUGAGGGGGGUAGAGGAAAGUGGAAUUCCCGGUGUAGUGGUGAUAUGCGUAGAUAUCGGGAGGAACACCUGUGGCGAAGGCGGCUUUCUGGGCCCUACCUGACGCUGAGGCACGAAAGCGUGGGGAGCAAACAGG
rnacentral:rRNA from 1 species